rnacentral:rRNA from 1 species
GACGAACGCUGGCGGCGUGCCUAAUACAUGCAAGUUGAGCGCUGAAGGUUGGUACUUGUACCAACUGGAUGAGCAGCGGACGGGUGAGUAACGCGUGGGGAAUCUGCCUUUGAGCGGGGGACAACAUUUGGAAACGAAUGCUAAUACCGCAUAAAAACUUUAAACACAAGUUUUAAGUUUGAAAGAUGCAAUUGCAUCACUCAAAGAUGAUCCCGCGUUGUAUUAGCUAGUUGGUGAGGUAAAGGCUCACCAAGGCGAUGAUACAUAGCCGACCUGAGAGGGUGAUCGGCCACAUUGGGACUGAGACACGGCCCAAACUCAUACGGGAGGCAGCAGUAGGGAAUCUUCGGCAAUGGACGAAAGUCUGACCGAGCAACGCCGCGUGAGUGAAGAAGGUUUUCGGAUCGUAAAACUCUGUUGGUAGAGAAGAACGUUGGUGAGAGUGGAAAGCUCAUCAAGUGACGGUAACUACCCAGAAAGGGACGGCUAACUACGUG